AAGGUUCUAGUCUAACAAAGACAACUAAUUUCGACUUAGUUAAUUAUGGUUAAAGUCCGUAGAACCUUU
rnacentral:tRNA from 1 species